rnacentral:lncRNA from 1 species
AAAAUUUUGUUUCAAAAUGAUCAUAAUAAAAUUUAAAACUAUUGGCUAAAGUAAAUAAGAGUAGAAACAAUUGGAUAAAAGCUCAACUUUAUUUAUUGGAAUGGUAGUCUGUAAAUGACAAGACGCCAUAGAUUUUACCAAGUUGAAAAUGGUAAUUUAUAUGGAAAAGGGUUACAUUGAAUACAAAUGAGCCUUAAUCCUUC